AUGGACGAACGGAUGGCGCAGCACGGCCGGCCGAUUUAUAAAUCAUUAACCUAUAAAACUGACCGCGUAAACCGAAAGGGGUUUACCGCGAAAUUCCUACCGUCCUGGGCUCCGCUUAAUAAUCCCCCUCGCUGCUUGCACUGGUCAACCGAGCCACCCCAGGAGCAACACCAGCACACCACCAUGGCUGCCUGCAAUGCAAGAAUCCGUAUCUUGCUCGUGCUAUACGGCGCCUCCUACCUCGCGCCCAACGCCACCGCACUCUCCGUCAACUGCAGCGGUCCGGAUCAUCGCCGCGAGGCGAUCUCUCGCCAUGAUACGUCCCUUGCAGGUAACACCACCAUAGGCAUGUUCAGUGUCCUCGACUUGGGUUGGUGCUCUAGCAGUAGCAGGGCGCUGCCUCACAGCCCCGGCGUCGCCCCAGCAGUCACAAGGCGUGUAAUCCCGGCCACCGCUGAUGUCGAUUCGAGUAUUGACGGCUCAAUCAGAGAGAAGGGAGAACCGUUCAACUGCAGCAGCAGGUUUUUGUCUGGUCACCCAUUCGCGUUUCAAGAACAACAAUUUGCAACUUUGGCUAGAAAUUACUCUGGUGGUUCUGCUGGAAGCUUAGGAUUUGGCGAUGCUAUACUUUGCAAUAAGUCCGGUAGCGUGAAUUUAACCUCGCCCAAUCGACUCCCUCAUCACUGGCUUUCCGACGAAGCUUGGGCGCGAAGAUUGUUGUCCGGUACACGUGGCCAGAGAGCGACGAGGAAACAGCAGGCUGCACCCCGCGGGAAGGUGGCAUCGUCGCGGCUGAAGCAUGCAUCUGUCGCCGUUUCGGCUUUGGUAGGGUUGGUUUGCGUCGUGGCAGCCCUCCUUCGCUGCUGCAUACGUACGGACAGGCCGCCGCGGCGGAGCACGGCGGCCAUCGAACUGGAGGACGACGAGCACGUCCUAACCGAACCUGGGCUCCGGCGAGGACUGGGGCCUAGGCAGUUCUGCCACAGCGAGCUCGCCGCCGCGACCGACGAUUUCGCCGACGAGAGGAGGAUCGGGAGAGGGGGGGUUCGGUCCGGUGUACAGAGGCUACUUGAGUGA
rnacentral:rRNA from 1 species